UACAGAGGUCUCAAGCGUUUGUUCGGAUUCAUUGGGCGUAAAGAGCGUGUAGGCGGCCAGGUAGGUCGGUUGUGAAAACUGGAGGCUCAACCUUCAGACGUCGACCGAAACCAUCUGGCUAGAGUCCGGGAGAGGAGAGUGGAAUUCCUGGUGUAGCGGUGAAAUGCGCAGAUAUCAGGAAGAACACCCGUGGCGAAAGCGGCUCUCUGGAACGGUACUGACGCUGAGACGCGAAAGCGUGGGGAGCGAACAGG
rnacentral:rRNA from 1 species